CUUUGAUUCUGGCUCAGGAUGAACGCUAGCGACAGGCUUAACACAUGCAAGUCGAGGGGCAGCGGUGGAGAGAGCUUGCUCUCUCCAGCCGGCGACCGGCGCACGGGUGAGUAACACGUAUGCAACCUGCCCUUGACACUGGGAUAACCCGGAGAAAUCCGGACUAAUACCGGGCGAUACCUUCGGAGGCCAUCCUCCUUAGGUCGAAGGAAGCGAUUCCGGUCAAGGAUGGGCAUGCGGCGCAUUAGCUAGUUGGCGGGGUAACGGCCCACCAAGGCGACGAUGCGUAGGGGUUCUGAGGGGAAGGUCCCCCACAUUGGUACUGAGACACGGACCAAACUCCUACGGGAGGCAGCAGUGAGGAAUAUUGGUCAAUGGGCGCGAGCCUGAACCAGCCAAGUCGCGUGAGGGAAGACGGCCCUACGGGUUGUAAACCUCUUUUGUCGGGGAGCAAGGACUGCCACGAGUGGCAGGGCGAGAGUACCCGAAGAGAAAGCAUCGGCUAACUCCGUGCCAGCAGCCGCGGUAAUACGGAGGAUGCGAGCGUUAUCCGGAUUUAUUGGGUUUAAAGGGUGCGUAGGCGGAAGUUCAAGUCAGCGGUAAAAUCGAGGGGCUCAACCCCUUUAAGCCGAUGAAACUGGGUUUCUUGAGUGGGCGAGAAGUGUGCGGAAUGUGUGGUGUAGCGGUGAAAUGCAUAGAUAUCACACAGAACUCCGAUUGCGAAGGCAGCACACCGGCGCCCGACUGACGCUGAGGCACGAAAGCGUGGGGAUCAAACAGGAUUAGAUACCCUGGUAGUCCACGCAGUAAACGAUGAACACUAGGUGUGCGGGUCGAAUGAGAUCUGCGUGCCACAGCGAAAGCGUUAAGUGUUCCACCUGGGGAGUACGCCGGCAACGGUGCAACUCAAAUGAAUUGACGGA
rnacentral:rRNA from 1 species